rnacentral:rRNA from 1 species
GACGAACGCUGGCGGCGUGCUUAACACAUGCAAGUCGAACGGAAAGGCCCUGCUUUUGUGGGGUGCUCGAGUGGCGAACGGGUGAGUAACACGUGAGUAACCUGCCCUUGACUUUGGGAUAACUUCAGGAAACUGGGGCUACUACCGGAUAGGAGCUCCUGCUGCAUGGUGGGGGUUGGAAAGUUUCGGCGUUUGGGGAUGGACUCGCGGCUUAUCAGCUUGUUGGUGGGGUAGUGGCUUACCAAGGCUUUGACGGGUAGCCGGCCUGAGAGGGUGACCGGCCACAUUGGGACUGAGGUACGGCCCAGAGUCCUACGGGAGGCAGCAGUGGAGAAUAUUGCACAAUGGGCGGAAGCCUGAUGCAGCAACGCCGCGUGCGGGAUGACGGCCUUCGGGUUGUAAACCGCUUUCGCCUGUGACGAAGCGUGAGUGACGGUAAUGGGUAAAGAAGCACCGGCUAACUACGUG